rnacentral:rRNA from 1 species
UACGGGAGGCAGCAGUGGGGAAUAUUGCACAAUGGGCGCAAGCCUGAUGCAGCCAUGCCGCGUGUAUGAAGAAGGCCUUCGGGUUGUAAAGUACUUUCAGUCGUGAGGAAGGUGUUAAGGUUAAUAACCUUAGCAAUUGACGUUAGCGACAGAAGAAGCACCGGCUAACUCCGUGCCAGCAGCCGCGGUAAUACGGAGGGUGCGAGCGUUAAUCGGAAUUACUGGGCGUAAAGGGCACGCAGGCGGUUAAUUAAGUUGGAUGUGAAAUCCCCGGGCUUAACCUGGGAAUGGCAUUCAAGACUGGUUAGCUAGAGUCUUGUAGAGGGGGUAGAAUUCCAUGUGUAGCGGUGAAAUGCGUAGAGAUGUGGAGGAAUACCGGUGGCGAAGGCGGCCCCUGGGACAAAGACUGACGCUCGAUGUGCGAAAGCGUGGGGAGCAAACGAGGAUUAGAUACC